AGGUUCCUGCCGUGUGCGUGUAGGGCGGUAGUUCCGAUCCAACACAGACUACCGCGGGAGCCCGGGCUCUGGCCGUGGAAGGCAUGCCCCGUCUAGUCGGGGAAACCAGAAGCGGUCAGGAGGGCACCCACCUGCCUAUGCAGGUUCGGGAACUUCUGCCUCACGGCACGGCGGGGAAAUG
rnacentral:other from 1 species